rnacentral:tRNA from 1 species
GGUUGGCUGGUGUAGUGGUUAUCACACUCGUCUCACAUAAGUUUCUUUGGUUGAACAAACCCUUGUCCCUGUGUGUGCACGAGAGGUCCCAGGUUCGAUCCCUGGGCUAAUCA